rnacentral:rRNA from 1 species
CUCCAGACUCCUACGGGAGGCAGCAGUGGGGGAUAUUGCACAAUGGGGGGAACCCUGAUGCAGCGACGCCGCGUGGGUGAAGAAGCGCCUCGGCGCGUAAAGCCCUGUCAGCAGGGAAGAAAAUGACGGUACCUGACUAAGAAGCCCCGGCUAACUACGUGCCAGCAGCCGCGGUAAUACGUAGGGGGCAAGCGUUAUCCGGAUUUACUGGGUGUAAAGGGAGCGUAGACGGCCAAGCAAGCCAGGGGUGAAAGCCCGGGGCUCAACCAUGGGACUGCUUUUGAAACUGUCAAACUAGAGUACGGGAGAGGUAAGAGGAAUUCCUAGUGUAGCGGUGAAAUGCGUAGAUAUUAGGAGGAACACCAGUGGCGAAGGCGUCUUACUGGACCGAAACUGACGUUGAGGCUCGAAAGCGUGGGGAGCAAACAGGAUUAGAUACCCGAGUA